AGAGUUUGAUCCUGGCUCAGAACGAACGCUGGCGGCAGGCCUUAUACAUGCAAGUCGAGCGCAUCCUUCGGGAUGAGCGGCGGACGGGUGAGUAACGCGUGGGAAUGUGCCCUUCUCUACGGAAUAGCCACUGGAAACGGUGAGUAAUACCGUAUACGCCCUCAGGGGGAAAGAUUUAUCGGAGAAGGAUCAGCCCGCGUUAGAUUAGGUAGUUGGUGGGGUAACGGCCUACCAAGCCUACGAUCUAUAGCUGGUUUUAGAGGAUGAUCAGCCACACUGGGACUGAGACUACGGCCCAGACUCCUACGGGGAGGCAGCAGUAGGGAAUCUUGGACAAUGGGGGCAACCCUGAUCCAGCCAUGCCGCGUGAGUGAAGAAGGCCCUAGGGUCGUAAAGCUCUUUCGCCUGUGAUGAUAAUGACAGUAGCAGGUAAAGAAACCCCGGCUAACUCCGUGCCAGCAGCCGCGGUAAUACGGAGGGGGUUAGCGUUGUUCGGAAUUACUGGGCGUAAAGCGCGCGUAGGCGGAUUGGAAAGUUGGGGGUGAAAUCCCGGGGCUCAACCCCGGAACUGCCUUCAAAACUCCCAGUCUAGAGUUCGAGAGAGGUGAGUGGAAUUCCGAGUGUAGAGGUGAAAUGCGUAGAUAUUCGGAAGAACACCAGUGGCGAAGGCGGCUCACUGGCUCGAUACUGACGCUGAGGUGCGAAAGUGUGGGGAGCAAACAGGAUUAGAUACCCUGGUAGUCCACACCGUAAACGAUGAAUGCCAGUCGUCGGAUAGUAUACUAUUCGGUGACACACCUAACGGAUUAAGCAUUCCGCCUGGGGAGUACGGUCGCAAGAUUAAAACUCAAAGGAAUUGACGGGGGCCCGCACAAGCGGUGGAGCAUGUGGUUUAAUUCGAAGCAACGCGCAGAACCUUACCAACCCUUAACAUCCUGUGCUAUAUCCAGAGAUGGAUAGUUCCUUUCGGGGACGC
rnacentral:rRNA from 2 species